rnacentral:rRNA from 1 species
UGGGGAAUUUUGGACAAUGGGCGAAAGCCUGAUCCAGCAAUGCCGCGUGUGUGAAGAAGGCCUUCGGGUUGUAAAGCACUUUUGUCCGGAAAGAAAUCCUUGGCUCUAAUACAGUCGGGGGAUGACGGUACCGGAAGAAUAAGCACCGGCUAACUACGUGCCAGCAGCCGCGGUAAUACGUAGGGUGCAAGCGUUAAUCGGAAUUACUGGGCGUAAAGCGUGCGCAGGCGGUUUGCUAAGACCGAUGUGAAAUCCCCGGGCUCAACCUGGGAACUGCAUUGGUGACUGGCAGGCUAGAGUAUGGCAGAGGGGGGUAGAAUUCCACGUGUAGCAGUGAAAUGCGUAGAGAUGUGGAGGAAUACCGAUGGCGAAGGCAGCCCCCUGGGCCAAUACUGACGCUCAUGCACGAAAGCGUGGGGAGCAAAACAGGAUUAGAUACCCUGGUAGUCCACGCCCUAAAACGAUGUCAACUAGUUGUUGGGGAUUCAUUUCCUUAGUAGCGUAGCUAACGCGUGAAGUUGACCGCCUGGGGAGUACGGUCGCAAGAUAAAACUCAAAGGAAUUGACGGGGUCAUAGCUGUUUCCU